rnacentral:lncRNA from 1 species
UUUUUUUUUUUUAAUGCUUCUGUUCUCCUUAUCUUGCUACCCCAUAAUUAAAAACAUGAUAGAAUUAUAUUUUUCACAUACAUACCUUAUUAUGUCCUCUAGAUUACUAUGUAUUUUACACGUGUAUAUUUGCAUAUUGCCAGAGAGAAGUAUAUAUACCAAACCACACACAUUCUACUCUACUUGAUGUAAAGGAUUCUCAAGCGUUACCUUGAAAAAAUAUGAUUAUCACUUUGCUCUUGGACCUUGUAACCCAAUGCUAACCUAAGCCACAGCCAACCAUUACAUGGAGAGUAAUGCUGUUUCUUAGGAAAGGGUGACUUAUCACCUGAUAAAUGCAGCUAAAGAUGCUAACAGAUUUUAAAAAUCACAAUAGAAAGAACUAGAGAAUAACUGGGAAGCUUUCUGCCUACGUGAAAGCCAGGAAAAAGGAUUUUAAAAUGUAUCUUGAACAAAACCUGUAGCUAACAUGCUUACUUUACUUCCAUUCUUAGUUAGAAUUACCAAAUGACCAGUUUUGAGUAUAAAAACUGAAAUGUAAGGGGAUCCCUGGGUGGCUCAGCGGUUUGGCGCCUGCCUUCGGCCCAGGGCACAAUCCUGGAGUCCCAGGAUCGAGUCCCGUGUUGGGCUCCCCGCGUGGAGCCUGCUUCCCUCUGCCUGUGUCUCUGCCUCUCUCUCUCCCUCUCUCUCAGUCUAUCAUGAAUGAGUAAAUAAAUAAAGCUUUUUAAAAAACCUCAAAUGUAAGACAGUUUUAAGUAAGUUACAUGAUAUAUGUUUAACAUCUAAAAUAGAUUCCUUAUCUUGAACAAAAAGUAUGCCAUUUCUUUUACAUUAAAGGUCAGUUCUUCAUUAAAUAAGUCUUAGCCGCAUAUUUGAAGAAUAUCGUCUUGUUGGGAACUCAGAUUCUUAGCCUAUGUCAAUUUGGAUUUGCCUCCUCCUUUUAUGUAUCUUCUGGCACUUAUUAUCGACUAGCUGUUUCUGUCAUACUCAAGCCUUUCCUAUGGCAAAAUCAAACAAAACUGAAAAUCAAAUAAAAAAAAAAACCCUCCUCUGACCCCACAUUCUCUGCCCAGUAUCAUAUUAUCACACUUUCCCAGCCAAAAAAAUUUUUUAAAAGAUUUUAUUUAUUUAUUCAUGAGAGACACAGAGAGAGAGGCAGAGACACAGACAGGAGAAGCAGGCUCCCUGCAGGGAGCCCAAAGUGGGGCUCAAUCCUAGAUCCCAGGAUCAUGCCCUGAGUCAAAGGCAGGCACUCAACCACUGAGCCACCCAGGAAGGAGUCCCUAGGCAAAAUUCUUAAAUUAGCUAAAGUUGUUGUAAUUCUGAAACUUGACUUAUUCAGCCUUCUAAGUGAACCCCUUGAUUUUAUUCCUGUUCCAAUCCAUUCUCUGAACUAUGAGUAGAGUAACUUUCCUAAAAUACAGACCUUGUCAAAACACUCUCAGUCUUGAAAUCCUUCUAUUGCUUUCUGUUUCUCUACAAUAAUAUCUUGAUUCAUGAUACGGUGUGUGGGUUCUCGACCACCUGGGGCUCUGCAGUCUUACCACCCUUAGCCCUCGCAGCUCACUUAUGCCUGGGGCUCUAGCCUAUCAAUCUUUCCUGUUCAGUUCCUCAAUUGUGCCAUGCUUGCUCUCACCUUAAAAGUGACUAAGUCACUCACCCUUCGUCUCUCAGCCUAAAUGUCUCUUCUUCAUCACAGUCUUUGUUGGAAUUCCCUGCCAUAUGCUGUCACUGCAUAUCCCUCUCAUAACACUCACUACAUUUGUAAUAACUGGAUUAAUGCCUGUUCCUAAAUUCCAUGAAGGUGUAGACAUGUCUGCCUGUCUUCUCUACCCCUUUAUCUCCAGGACUAAGUACAAUGCCCGCCACGUGGAAUGCACUUAACAAAUAUUUGUGAGAUAAAGAAAUAGUAUUAUGAUCUAAGAAUAAAAGGGUUUUCUUUUGGAAUCUUAUAAACAUUUCAAAUUCCUGCUCACUCCUUUCUUCUAGGAUUAUUUCAGUUGGUUUUAUCUUUCUAGAAGAAAAAUGUUUUGCAAUCCUAGAAUGAGGAAUCUGUUUAACAGAUUCAGACUCUGCCAUGAGUAGGGAACAUAUUCAGUAGUCAAUCAACAACAAAAUCAGUGUUACUCCUAAUUUUUUAAAAAAUGGAGAUUUAGGAAGAAAAGAUCUUGAGGUUGACCUUCUAAUAUAUUUUCCCUGAAUGAUGUUUUGAAAUUUUAAGUCAAAGGCAAAUAUUAAAGGUAUGGAGGUUCCUCAAAAAGUUAAAAAUAGAACUACCAUAUGAUCCAGUUAUCACACUACUGGGUAUUCACCCAAAGAAUACAAAAACACUAAUUCAAAAGGAUAUGCACACCCCUAUGUUUAUUGCAGCAUUAUUUACAAUAGCCAAGAUAUGGAAGCAGUCCAAGUGUCCACUGAUAGAUGAAUGGAUAAAACCGUGGUGUAUAUACACAGUGGACUAUUAGUCAGCCAUAGAAAAGAAUGGAAUCUUGCCAUUUGCAACAACAUGGAUGGAGCUAGAGGGUAUAAUGUUAAGUGAAAUAAGUUAAGAGAACUAUGAAUACCAUAUUAUUUCACUCAUGUGUGGAAUUUAAGUAACAGAACAAAUGAGCAAAGGAAAAAAGAGACAAACCAAGAAACAGACUCUUAACUACAGAGAACAAACUGCUGGUCACCAGAGGGGAGCAGUGGAGAUGGGUGAAAUAGGUGAUGGAGAUUAGGAGUCCAAGUCCUCAUGAUGAGCACUGAGUAAUAUAUGAAAUUGUUGAAUCACUAUACUGUACACCUAAAAUUAAUAUAACACUGUAUGCUAACUAUGCUGGAAUUAAAAUUUUAAAAUUGAAUUAAAUUUAAAAAUAAAAUACUAGAUAUAUUAGAAAAUUGUUUAAGAGACUCUAGAUACUACAUAGGUAUUGGAGAGACACUUAUAUACAGUUCUUCAAAUCUAAAAGCCAUCUAAGAAAAUACAGACAUAUUCAGUUAUAUAAAAAUUUAAAAUCCUGUAUGGAGAAAGAUACCAUAAACAAAGUCAAGGAAAAAAAAAUAAAAAGCAGGAAAAAAUUUUUGUAAUACAUGAUCCAGAUGAAAAUCUGGCAUAUAUAAUCGUAUUACUUAUCUCAUUCUGCAGCAUAACCCCAAAACUUGGCAUUUUGGAACAACAGACACUUAGUCCUUUCAGUUUCUGGGGGUCAGGAAUGCAGGCACCAAUUAACAGGGUGCCCUGCCUCCGGGUCUUCCACAGGCUGCAACUGAGAUGUGAGCCGGGCUACAGGUUCAUCUGAAGGCUUGAUUCGGGAGCAUCUGCUUCCAAUCUUAUGAUGUUUUGCAGGAUUCAUUUCCUGAGGACUUUGGAAUAAGAAUCUCCAUUCCUCAUGGGCUGCGGACAGAGGUUACUUUGGCUCCAGGCCACUUAGCCUCCACCAUUAGAGAAAACAUGUGACAAAAGCCACAGAGAGAAUACCAGCAAAAUAGAGGUCAUCGUCUUUAACACCCAAUCAGAGAAGUGAUAGCUCAUCGCUUUUGCUGUAUACUGGUCUUUAGAAGAAAGUCACCAGGAUUCAGUCCAUGCUCAGAAGAGGGGAUUAUACGCGGGCAUGAGCACCCCAGGACGCGAGCCCCUGGGAAUCACUUUGGAAGCCUGCCGACCACAGUAAUAUGCAUAUUACUGUUACAAAUUGGUUAGAAAAAAAAAACCCAAAUAUAAAUGUGAGCAAAAAACAGGGACCGGCAAUUCACAUAAGAGCAAUCCAAAUGAUCACUUUAUGUUUUAAGAGAUCCUCAGCCUUUGCCGUAGUCAUGGAAAUGCAAACUUAAGUGGUAAAGAGAGGAUCACACGGACUCUCAGAUAAGACUUGUAUUAAUUUAUAAAGAUGAGGAGAUAGCACUCUCAAACAUUCAUUGUUAAUGGAAAUAUGAAUUGUGCAGCCUUUUUGGAAAGCAAUUUGUUAAUAUUAAUUAAAAUUAGAAACACACAUUUCCUUUGAUUUAGAAUCUAAUCUGCCAAAUUAAAAUCAAGAAUUCAAACACACACACACACACACACACACACACACACAUUCUUGUCAUCGGUAAGAAACAAAAUGGAUAACCAUCAGUAGGGAAAUAGUAAAAUAAACUGUGGUAUGUGUAAUAUUAUGCAGCCAUUAAAAAGAAUGAAGUAAUGCCACCCACACCAAGAAAAGAAAGAGAGAGAGAAAAAGGCAAAUAAAGAUGGCACAAAAAAGUAUAACUAGGGGGCGCCUAGGUGGAGCAGUUGGUUAAGUGUCUGACUCUUGGUUUCAGCUCAGGUCAUGAUCUCGUGGUCGUGAAAUCGAGCCCCACUUUGAGCUCCGCACUCAGCAUGGAGUCUGCUUGAGUUUCUCUCUCUCCCAGUGUCCCUCCUGCUAACACUCUUUCUCUCUCUGAAAUAAAUCUCUAAAAACUAUGAGAACAAGCAUGCAUUUAUGUAAAAUUAUAUUUAUUUAUUUUUAAAGAUUUUAUUUAUUCAUGAGAGACAAAGAGAGAGAGAGACUGAGAGUUCAAGUAAUUUCUAUUUCCCUUCUUGUAGUUUUAUAUAUUAGCUUAUUUUCUAAAGCCUAAUUUUAUAUAAUUAGCCUAUAGUUAGAAAUGUGUUUACAUACGUGAAUGGUAUAUAUAAAUAUUUGCCUCUAUAAUCUAUUACAAACUGUGACUGUGAAGUGAGCCUGAAAUGGUAAAUGAGACUUGUACAGACAAGAGAGGAGGAAGACGGUACUUUAUGUAGAAAACACCACCUACAGAGAGAUGUUGACUCCAAAAUGUGAAAAGUCACAGGGAGGCUAAACAAGAGGUCUGAUCUGAUUGGCUCACAGGGAAUGAGAAGAGAGUAGUAAGAGUCUAACUGUUGGCUGCACCGAGAUUGUUAAGGAUUCAUGGAUGGUUCAGACUUUAUCUCGUAAUGGGGAGCACCAUUUGACUUUAAGAUGGCAUGAUAGACAUCUUGGAAGGUGAAUAUGGUCCUGGCAUUCUGGGCAGAAUGGAGAGGAGGGGCCUGCAGACAGCGAGAACAUUGCUGAGGUUAAUUCCGUUGACAAGGCAUAAGACAGUCAAGGCUGGAAGUGGGUUGUCAGGGGAAGAAAGGGACACACUGAGUAUGGCUUAAUAGUGGGGUUCCUGGCAUGGAGAUUUUGAGGAAUGAAGCAUCUAUAAGCACCACUUACACCAACACACUGCCCUAGUCCUCUGAUUGGUGCAACAGAAGAUGUGCUAACAUUUCUGAAAUAACUAAGAAUAGCACAUUGUGCAUAUAUAGAGACCUUUACCAUUUAUUAAGGACUUACACAUUUAUUGUCUAGCUUUU